rnacentral:rRNA from 1 species
CUAUGAGCGAUGGGGUGACGCAGUAGGGUAGUGACGCGGACUGAUGGAUGUCCGUCUAAGCAGUGAGGCUGGUGUGUAGGCAAAUCCGCACAUCGUUAAGGCUGGGCUGUGAUGGGGAGCGAAAAUUAUAGUAGCGAAGGUCAUGAUCUCAGACUGCCAAGAAAAGCCUCUAGCCAGGAGAAGGUGCCCGUACCGCAAACCGACACAGGUAGGCGAGAAGAGA